GCCGGGAUAGCCUAGAGGCCAGGCGGGGGACUGCAGAUCCCCUCUACCCGGGUUCAAAUCCCGGUCCCGGCUCCA
rnacentral:tRNA from 5 species